UACGAAGGGGGCUAGCGUUGUUCGGAAUCACUGGGCGUAAAGGGCGCGUAGGCGGCUUGAUAAGUCGGGGGUGAAAGCCUGUGGCUCAACCACAGAAUUGCCUUCGAUACUGUCGAGCUUGAGACCGGAAGAGGUAAGUGGAACUGCGAGUGUAGAGGUGAAAUUCGUAGAUAUUCGCAAGAACACCAGUGGCGAAGGCGGCUUCCUGGCCUGUUCUUGACGCUGAGGCGCGAAAGCUAGGGGAGCAAACGGG
rnacentral:rRNA from 1 species